AUUCGUGGUGUAGCGGUGAAAUGCUUAGAUAUCACGAAGAACUCCGAUUGCGAAGGCAGCUCACUGGACUGCAACUGACACUGAUGCUCGAAAGUGUGGGUAUCAAACAGGAUCAGAUACCCUGGUAGUCCACACAGUAAACGAUGAAUACUCGCUGUUUGCAAGGGCCAAGCGAAAGCAUUAAGUAUUCCACCUGGGGAGUACGCCGGCAACGGUGAAACUCAAAGGAAUUGACGGGGGCCCGCACAAGCGGAGGAACAUGUGGUUUAAUUCGAUGAUACGCGAGGAACCUUACCCGGGCUUAAAUUGAAGGUGCUGCAUGGUUGUCGUCAGCUCGUGCCGUGAGGUGUCGGCUUAAGUGCCAUAACGAGCGCAACCCUUAUCUUUAGUUACGACUCUAGAGAGACUGCCGUCGUAAGAUGGAGGAAGGUGGGGAUGACGUCAAAUCAGCACGGCCCUUACGUCCGGGGCUACACACGUGUUACAAUGGGGGGUACAGAAGGCAGCUAGCGGGUGACCGUAUGCUAAUCCCAAAAUCCUCCCUCAGUUCGGAUCGAAGUCUGCAACCCGACUUCGUGAAGCUGGAUUCGCUAGUAAUCGCGCAUCAGCACGGCGCGGUGAAUACGUUCCCGGGCCUUGUACACACCGCCCGUCAAGGGC
rnacentral:rRNA from 1 species